AUUGAACGCUGGCGGCAGGCCUAACACAUGCAAGUCGAGCGGUAACACAGAGGAGCUUGCUCCUUGGGUGACGAGCGGCGGACGGGUGAGUAAUGCCUGGGGAUCUGCCCGAUAGAGGGGGAUAACUACGGGAAACUGUAGCUAAUACCGCAUAAUGUCUACGGACCAAAGUGGGGGAUCUUCGGACCUCAUGCUAUCGGAUGAACCCAGGUGGGAUUAGCUAGUUGGUGAGGUAAUGGCUCACCAAGGCGACGAUCUCUAACUGGUUUGAGAGAAUGACCAGUCACACUGGAACUGAGACACGGUCCAGACUCCUACGGGAGGCAGCAGUGGGGAAUAUUGCACAAUGGGCGCAAGCCUGAUGCAGCCAUGCCGCGUGUGUGAAGAAGGCCUUCGGGUUGUAAAGCACUUUCAGCGGGGAGGAAGGGUCACUAGUUAAUACCUAGUGGCAUUGACGUUACUCGCAGAAGAAGCACCGGCUAACUCCGUGCCAGCAGCCGCGGUAAUACGGAGGGUGCAAGCGUUAAUCGGAAUUACUGGGCGUAAAGCGCACGCAGGCGGUUUGUUAAGUCANAUGUGAAAUCCCCGAGCUCAACUUGGGAACUGCAUUUGAAACUGGCAAGCUAGAGUCUUGUAGAGGGGGGUAGAAUUCC
rnacentral:rRNA from 1 species